AUCCACAGCCAUAUCACCCUGCAACUCAAGACCGGUUACUCACUAAAUGAUAGUAGGGCUGAGCCUGGUCAGUACCUUGAUGGGAGAUCAUAUAGGAAAGCUAGGUUGUUGUUAAAA
rnacentral:rRNA from 1 species